UUACAGCUGGUUCCUCAGAUUCUCUGCUAAAAAACAACUUUUGAUUAUCACGUCAAGCGCUGAAAUAUUAGUUUAAGCUUCUUAUAUAUGGAUUUCUGAGAGCACACAUCUGAAGCACGCGCUCAGAAGCUGCUGUCACAGCAACUGCAAUGAAGCAUCAAGAAAGACAUAAGCAUGCCAGCCACCCUGAGACUUAUAAUUCAUUGGAAUACAUAUCUGUCACUAACAAAGUGGAUGGUGAGCAAAGGUGGUGGCCAUGUUUUGGAACGGCACCUGGGUUUUGCAGGUGGCUAUGUACUUUUUCCCUAUUAUGUUUCUGUUGCCUGAAGAUUUUUUGUGAGGAUAAAUCCAGAGAAUACAACAUAAUGCACAGCAAAAUGUCCUAAGACAGGAGAAAUGGUGAAGAUGCACUUUUUUUCAGCAUUGGAAGACUGUAUUUUUAAGUGUUAUACAUGCAAUGAUUAAAAAAAGUAGGAUAAAAAUAAAAUGAAUUCAAUAUAAAAUAAAUGAAAUCUAUAUUAAAAUGAAUGAAUUACAGUAGUAUACUGGUGAAUUGAUUUUUUACAGUAAUUUACAGUUUGCUACUGUACAUAAGAUAAUGUUUGCUA